rnacentral:rRNA from 1 species
GAGGGAGCCCUAGCACAGGUGCUGCAUGGCCGUCGUCAGCUCGUGCCGUGAGGUGUUGGGUUAAGUCCCGCAACGAGCGCAACCCCGCCGUUAGUUGCCAGCGGUUCGGCCGGGCACUCUAACGGGACUGCCCGCGAAAGCGGGAGGAAGGAGGGGACGACGUCUGGUCAGCAUGGCCCUUACGGCCUGGGCGACACACGUGCUACAAUGCCCACUACAAAGCGAUGCCACCCGGCAACGGGGAGCUAAUCGCAAAAAGGUGGGCCCAGUUCGGAUUGGGGUCUGCAACCCGACCCCAUGAAGCCGGAAUCGCUAGUAAUCGUGAAUCAGAAUGUCACGGUGAAUACGUUCCCGGGCCUU